rnacentral:lncRNA from 13 species
CAUCUAUAAAAUGAGAGGCUUGGAUUUGAUUAUUCCAAUUCUAUCUACUCCUUCUCUGAUUCUGUGAUUCUCAUCCAAUCACUUAUGCCCGGAUGGAAGGAAUGUCUGUGAAAGAGGCAACAGAGGAGGUGAUUCUACCUGGCUGCAAGAUGGCCUGCCCUCCCGGUCUCUGGAACCUUAUUCAGUGUCUUGAAGGAAACAGGAUUAGGAGACAGACCUGGACGGGGCUGCCAUGUGGCGAGGUUGAAUGCACCACAUCCAGAAUGCACAGAAAACUCAGAACGGGAUUGCUUAGGAGUCAGGCUGUGCUGGCUAAAUAAAACAGGAGCAUCUGUAGACAGGAAUGCGGCUCUCCUGAAAGUCCAGGAAUUCUGGGUAAUCAACACGCAACCAGCAGCAAAUGCUCUCUAUUCUAGACACUGGGAAUGCAAAAAAAAAAAAAAAAAACAUCAAAAUUUGGCCUCCAGAAGCCCCAUGAGGCCCUCGUCUACUGGGGAAGAAGAGAGGCAGGCAAAUGGAAUAUCACAGCCCACAGCAAUAAGUGUCAGAAAAGCAGGAAUGCCAGGAUCCACAAGACUGCAGGGGAAGCGUGUUCAGAGGUAGAGGAAGUGACACCAGGGCUGGGUGUUGAAGGUUGAAUAGGAGUGCACCACCCGGGGAAAUUGCAUUCCAAGCAGAGGAGAGGGACCAGAUCAGGUCUGGGAGAGGGAGCCCAGGAGAGAGAAAAGUGACAAAAUAAGUCCCCCUCGGUCCUCCCAUGAGGAGGGCCAAGAGGGCUCACCAUCAGUGAUGUCGUGUGACAGCCAGGCCACCAAGCCAACUCAGGUCACUUCCUGGAAUCGCAGCCCACUGGCCAACUGGAUCAUCCAGUUGGUUCCAAACAUUGUAUACAAGACCUAGGGCGCCUCCCAGCCCAACCCCUCAUGCACCAACCUGCCAAACACCUGCCCGUCCUUCAAGGCAAGUCCAAGGGACACCUCCUCUGCAAAGCCUUUCCUGAUUCUGCCAGAAGACCUCUGUUACGGAACUCAGGUGUGUUAGAGUCAACUGUCUGCUUCUGCAUCCAGCUGUGAGCUCCCUGAGGGCAGGUGCUGUGCUUCAUUAUAACAGCACAGUGUGUAGGACCCAGAG